rnacentral:rRNA from 1 species
GCAGUAUCCUACGGGAGGCAGCAGUGGGGAAUAUUGCACAAUGGGGGAAACCCUGAUGCAGCAACGCCGCGUGAGUGAUGACGGUCUUCGGAUUGUAAAGCUCUGUCUUUAGGGACGAUAAUGACGGUACCUAAGGAGGAAGCCACGGCUAACUACGUGCCAGCAGCCGCGGUAAUA